rnacentral:rRNA from 1 species
GAAACUGAGGACAAUACUCCAUAGGUUUAGGAGGCUGGAAUGCAUCUAGACUGAAAGCUCCGGCGCCUAAGGAUGAGUCUGCGGACUAUCAGGUUGUAGUCAGGGUAAAGACCUGACUAGCCUACGACGGAUACGGGUUGUGAGAGCAAUAACCCGGAGACGAUAUCUGAGACACGAUAUCGGGCCCUACGGGGCGCAGCAGGCGCGAAAACUUCACACUGUGCGAAAGCACGAUGAGGGAAUCCCAAGUGCCAGCUCGUAAGAGUUGGCUGUUUCUUUGUUUAAAGAACACACAGAGUAAGGGCUGGGUAAGACGGGUGCCAGCCGCCGCGGUAAUACCUGCAGCUCAAGUGGUGAUCGUUAUUAUUGGGCCUAAAACGUUCGUAGCCGGUUUAGUAAAUGCCUGGGUAAAUCGUGUAGCUUAACUAUACGAAUUCCGGGUAGACUGCUAAACUU